rnacentral:rRNA from 1 species
GGGUUGUGAGGUUAAGCGACUAAGCGUACACGGUGGAUGCCCUGGCAGUCAGAGGCGAUGAAGGACGUGCUAAUCUGCGAUAAGCGUCGGUAAGGUGAUAUGAACCGUUAUAACCGGCGAUUUCCGAAUGGGGAAACCCAGUGUGUUUCGACACACUAUCAUUAACUGAAUCCAUAGGUUAAUGAGGCGAACCGGGGGAACUGAAACAUCUAAGUACCCCGAGGAAAAGAAAUCAACCGAGAUUCCCCCAGUAGCGGCGAGCGAACGGGGAGCAGCCCAGAGCCUGAAUCAGUGUGUGUGUUAGUGGAAGCGUCUGGAAAGGCGCGCGAUACAGGGUGACAGCCCCGUACACAAAAAUGCACAUGCUGUGAGCUCGAUGAGUAGGGCGGGACACGUGGUAUCCUGUCUGAAUAUGGGGGGACCAUCCUCCAAGGCUAAAUACUCCUGACUGACCGAUAGUGAACCAGUACCGUGAGGGAAAGGCGAAAAGAACCCCGGCGAGGGGAGUGAAAAAGAACCUGAAACCGUGUACGUACAAGCAGUGGGAGCACGCUUAGGCGUGUGACUGCGUACCUUUUGUAUAAUGGGUCAGCGACUUAUAUUCUGUAGCAAGGUUAACCGAAUAGGGGAGCCGAAGGGAAACCGAGUCUUAACUGGGCGUUAAGUUGCAGGGUAUAGACCCGAAACCCGGUGAUCUAGCCAUGGGCAGGUUGAAGGUUGGGUAACACUAACUGGAGGACCGAACCGACUAAUGUUGAAAAAUUAGCGGAUGACUUGUGGCUGGGGGUGAAAGGCCAAUCAAACCGGGAGAUAGCUGGUUCUCCCCGAAAGCUAUUUAGGUAGCGCCUCGUGAAUUCAUCUCCGGGGGUAGAGCACUGUUUCGGCAAGGGGGUCAUCCCGACUUACCAACCCGAUGCAAACUGCGAAUACCGGAGAAUGUUAUCACGGGAGACACACGGCGGGUGCUAACGUCCGUCGUGAAGAGGGAAACAACCCAGACCGCCAGCUAAGGUCCCAAAGUCAUGGUUAAGUGGGAAACGAUGUGGGAAGGCCCAGACAGCCAGGAUGUUGGCUUAGAAGCAGCCAUCAUUUAAAGAAAGCGUAAUAGCUCACUGGUCGAGUCGGCCUGCGCGGAAGAUGUAACGGGGCUAAACCAUGCACCGAAGCUGCGGCAGCGACGCUGAUGCGUUGUUGGGUAGGGGAGCGUUCUGUAAGCCUGCGAAGGUGUGCUGUGAGGCAUGCUGGAGGUAUCAGAAGUGCGAAUGCUGACAUAAGUAACGAUAAAGCGGGUGAAAAGCCCGCUCGCCGGAAGACCAAGGGUUCCUGUCCAACGUUAAUCGGGGCAGGGUGAGUCGACCCCUAAGGCGAGGCCGAAAGGCGUAGUCGAUGGGAAACAGGUUAAUAUUCCUGUACUUGGUGUUACUGCGAAGGGGGGACGGAGAAGGCUAUGUUGGCCGGGCGACGGUUGUCCCGGUUUAAGCGUGUAGGCUGGUUUUCCAGGCAAAUCCGGAAAAUCAAGGCUGAGGCGUGAUGACGAGGCACUACGGUGCUGAAGCAACAAAUGCCCUGCUUCCAGGAAAAGCCUCUAAGCAUCAGGUAACAUCAAAUCGUACCCCAAACCGACACAGGUGGUCAGGUAGAGAAUACCAAGGCGCUUGAGAGAACUCGGGUGAAGGAACUAGGCAAAAUGGUGCCGUAACUUCGGGAGAAGGCACGCUGAUAUGUAGGUGAAGUCCCUUGCGGAUGGAGCUGAAAUCAGUCGAAGAUACCAGCUGGCUGCAACUGUUUAUUAAAAACACAGCACUGUGCAAACACGAAAGUGGACGUAUACGGUGUGACGCCUGCCCGGUGCCGGAAGGUUAAUUGAUGGGGUCAGCGCAAGCGAAGCUCUUGAUCGAAGCCCCGGUAAACGGCGGCCGUAACUAUAACGGUCCUAAGGUAGCGAAAUUCCUUGUCGGGUAAGUUCCGACCUGCACGAAUGGCGUAAUGAUGGCCAGGCUGUCUCCAC